GACGAACGCUGGCGGCGUGCCUAAUACAUGCAAGUAGAACGCUGAGGAGAGGAGCUUGCUCUUCUUGGAUGAGUUGCGAACGGGUGAGUAACGCGUAGGUAACCUGCCUGGUAGCGGGGGAUAACUAUUGGAAACGAUAGCUAAUACCGCAUAAAAUUGAUUAUUGCAUGAUAAUUAAUUGAAAGAUGCAACUGCAUCACUACCAGAUGGACCUGCGUUGUAUUAGCUAGUUGGUGAGGUAACGGCUCACCAAGGCGACGAUACAUAGCCGACCUGAGAGGGUGAUCGGCCACACUGGGACUGAGACACGGCCCAGACUCCUACGGGAGGCAGCAGUAGGGAAUCUUCGGCAAUGGGGGGAACCCUGACCGAGCAACGCCGCGUGAGUGAAGAAGGUUUUCGGAUCGUAAAGCUCUGUUGUAAGAGAAGAACGGGUGUGAGAGUGGAAAGUUCACACUGUGACGGUAUCUACCAGAAA
rnacentral:rRNA from 1 species